rnacentral:rRNA from 1 species
CAUCGCCGCGGUAAUACGAAGGGUGCAAGCGUUACUCGGAAUUACAGGGCGUAAAGCGUGCGUAGGCGGUGAGUUAAGUCUGCUGUGAAAUCCCCGGGCUCAACCUGGGAAUGGCAGUGGAUACUGGCUCGCUAGAGUGUGUCAGAGGAUGGUGGAAUUCCCGGUGUAGCGGUGAAAUGCGUAGAGAUCGGGAGGAACAUCAGUGGCGAAGGCGGCCAUCUGGGACAACACUGACGCUGAGGCACGAAAGCGUGGGGAGCAAACAGGAUUAGAUACCCCUGUAGUCCCUGUCUCUUAUACA